rnacentral:rRNA from 1 species
AGCGGCGAACGGGUGAGUAACACGUGGGUGAUCUGCCUCGCACUUCGGGAUAAGCCUGGGAAACUGGGUCUAAUACCGGAUAUGACCUUCCAGUGCAUGCUGGUUGGUGGAAAGAUUUAUCGGUGCGAGAUGGGCCCGCGGCCUAUCAGCUUGUUGGCGGGGUAACGGCCCACCAAGGCGACGACGGGUAGCCGACCUGAGAGGGUGACCGGCCACACUGGGACUGAGACACGGCCCAGACUCCUACGGGAGGCAGCAGUGGGGAAUAUUGCACAAUGGGCGAAAGCCUGAUGCAGCGACGCCGCGUGAGGGAUGACGGCCUUCGGGUUGUAAACCUCUUUCGACAGGGACGAAGCGAAAGUGACGGUACCUGUAGAAGAAGCACCGGCCAACUACGUGCCAGCAGCCGCGGUAAUACGUAGGGUGCGAGCGUUGUCCGGAAUUACUGGGCGUAAAGAGCUUGUAGGCGGUCUGUCGCGUCUUCUGUGAAAACUUGGGGCUCAACCUUAAGCUUGCAGGCGAUACGGGCAGACUAGAGUACUUCAGGGGAGACUGGAAUUCCUGGUGUAGCGGUGAAAUGCGCAGAUAUCAGGAGGAACACCGGUGGCGAAGGCGGGUCUCUGGGAAGUAACUGACGCUGAGAAGCGAAAGCGUGGGUAGCGAACAGGAUUAGAUACCCUGGUAGUCCACGCCGUAAACGGUGGGUACUAGGUGUGGGUUUCCUUCCACGGGAUCCGUGCCGUAGCUAACGCAUUAAGUACCCCGCCUGGGGAGUACGGCCGCAAGGCUAAAACUCAAAGGAAUUGACGGGGGCCCGCACAAGCGGCGGAGCAUGUGGAUUAAUUCGAUGCAACGCGAAGAACCUUACCUGGGUUUGACAUACACCGGAAACCUGCAGAGAUGUAGGCCCCCUUGUGGUCGGUGUACAGGUGGUGCAUGGCUGUCGUCAGCUCGUGUCGUGAGAUGUUGGGUUAAGUCCCGCAACGAGCGCAACCCUUGUCCUGUGUUGCCAGCGCGUAAUGGCGGGGACUCGCAGGAGACUGCCGGGGUCAACUCGGAGGAAGGUGGGGACGACGUCAAGUCAUCAUGCCCCUUAUGUCCAGGGCUUCACACAUGCUACAAUGGCCGGUACAGAGGGCUGCGAUACCGUGAGGUGGAGCGAAUCCCUUAAAGCCGGUCUCAGUUCGGAUCGGGGUCUGCAACUCGACCCCGUGAAGUUGGAGUCGCUAGUAAUCGCAGAUCAGCAACGCUGCGGUGAAUACGUUCCCGGGCCUUGUACACACCGCCCGUCACGUCAUGAAAGUCGGUAACACCCGAAGCCGG